rnacentral:lncRNA from 1 species
ACACAGCCAUGCCUGGCUCUGAAUCCAACCACCGGGAGACCAGAGGAGGCUGUAGACCAGGCUGCCAUCCAUCCCCAGAGACAGAAGCUGAAGAAGGAAAGAGGGGAAAAACGAAUAAUGAGAAGGGGAGUAUAUAUAAUUCCAUUAAAGCAAUGUAAAGUGUCUACCCUCCGUAUCCCAAAGGUGAUAUAGAACUCUACUGCUAUCUGAAGUGUACAGAAGGGAUGCCACCAAGCCAACUGACCGUCUCUGCUCAUCCAUGGUCUGAGUGUCAAUGAGUACCAGGCCGUCUACAACAGAGUGGUGGAGCCCUUCGCUAGUACUGCUAGUGCAUUGUCAUCAUAUAGUCACGCCCAAGGCAUACGGUAGACUUAAAGGAGAGACUGCUGGACAGACCAAAGCUUGAGGAGGUGGUCCACGAAUACGGUUGUGUGGAAGUUAUAGAAACGUUUUAUCCCAAGGUUAGGCCUCAAGCCUCAAGUCUGAGGCACCAGAGGGCUCAUGAGAUGCCCAAACCUAAAGUGACUGUGUGUGGCUCUACUACACAAUAUGUGGCUAUGGGUUGGUAGUAGAGCCACACACACAGUCACUCUGUAUUUUCUCAUUUUAAAAUAUUCAAUUGAAUUUCAACAUACCCUCAUCUGAUGUCUUGGCUUUGUAAUCAUCACAAUGCAUCAGGUCAUGUAGUAACACAGACAAACACUGGCUAGCUUUGAUGAGCCGACAACUUGUUCCUACAAUUAGCAAUUGAUUUCAUAUGGGCAUGAUGAUUCAUACAGAUUGGCUGAUAUUACUUUAUUACAUAAAGUAACCUCUGUAGAAUUGUACAUGUGCUGUUUCUAUCUAUUAACUCUAUGAAAGCACAAUACAGAGAAAAAGCACACUGCUCAUUUUACAGCAGGCAAAUUGGUCUCAGUUUCUAUGAGUUGAGAGUGAAAAGGCAGACCCAAAUGUUUAUCAUUCCUAAGAUAUUUGC